CCUGCCACCUCUGGGAAGCCGUCUGAUCCCCUUGCCCUCAUCACGCCCACAGCACCUACAUCUUGCAUUGUACUGAUUCCUCUGAAUGCCUUCUGCCCAUGGCCUCUGGAAGCUUGCCUGAGUGAAAUAGCUGCCUCGUAAGAACUCCAGACGACACUUCACAGCCCUGAAGCAGAGGGAAGGCCCCAGGCUCAAAGUCGUGCUGUUUGUUCUCAGUCAGAGAAAAUUCUCACUGGAGAUGGUCACCCCAACUCAGGGUAUUCGACCCCUGGCCGGCAGGGA